GUCCACACUGUAAACGAUGGUUACUAGAUGUUCGGUAGCAAUACUGAGUGUUCAAGCGAAAGCGAUAAGUAACCCACUCGGGGAGUACGACCGCAAGGUUGAAACUCAAAGGAAUUGACGGGGGCCCGCACAAGCGGUGGAGCAUGUGGUUUAAUUCGAUGAUACGCGAGGAACCUUACCUGGGCUAGAAUGCCUUUGACCGUCCCUGAAAGGGGAUUUCUCUUCGGAGCAAAGUGCAAGGUGCUGCAUGGUUGUCGU
rnacentral:rRNA from 1 species